CAGAAAGAGCCAGUUCUCUAAAAAGAGCCGGAAAUCCCAUCACUAGUCGUGUAAUAUGCUGGUAUUGAUAUGAUCAAAAAUGAACUGAGUUGUUUCCUAUUCUAUAGAAAUUGUACAUUUAAUUAAUAACAAGGCUUUCUGCUGAUGUUAUUAAUUAAAAAUGUAUUGUUUUAUUCUUAAGCAACAACUUUUUAAUAUGUAAAGUGUCCAUUUAUCCUCCAUGCCUGGUCCACUAUCUUAAGCUUUGGCUGCUGCCCCCCGCAACCCAAUCCGGUACUAAGUAGAGAGGCCCAGAGUUCGCUCUCUCCAGGCACUUGGUCCAGCUCCUCCGGGGGAAUCCCAAGGCAUUCCCAGGCCAGCUGAAAAACAUAGUCCCUCCAGCAUGUCCUGGGUGUUCUGGGUCUCUUGUUCUCCUGGGAGAACAAGUGUAGACGAUGCCACAUGAAGGAUGAUGAAAUUCCUCAUAUCACCUGAGCUGGCUGUGGAGUACAACAUGCUUGGCCGACAUGGGAAAAAAAAGUUCAGAGAUUUGCGUCUUUUUAAUGUUGUGUAUGAGACACUGAAGAAGAAUUAUUUAACAUCAAAAGUCAACUUGCAAGAAGCAGAGAAGGCUCUGUCCAAGUGGUUCACUGGAGCAAAAGGCAGAGGAGGACUGAGGGCUGCAAGGGUACAAAAUAGACUUACGGCUCUGUAAAAAAAACAAAAAAAGAAACCCUGCUGAUUCAAGAUAAACUUUUGAGUUUUCCAUCUGACUUUUUCCCCAUGUUGCUACAGUUCCAAAUAUCUAAGGAAUUUUGCUGUAGUUUGACAUUUCUAGUUUUUUAAAAGUUUACGCACUUUGGUAUACAGUUACGUAAAAUCACAGUUGUUGGACAAAAUAAAUGUGAAAAAUGUUG